AGAGUUUGAUCCUGGCUCAGGAUGAACGCUGGCGGCGUGCCUAACACAUGCAAGUCGAGCGAUUUACUUCGGUAAAGAGCGGCGGACGGGUGAGUAACGCGUGGGUAACCUGCCUCAUACACAUGGAUAACAUACCGAAAGGUAUGCUAAUACAAGAUGAUAUAAGAGAUUCGCAUGGAUUUCUUAUCAAAGCUCCGGCGGUAUGAGAUGGACCCGCGUCUGAUUAGCUAGUUGGUAAGGUAACGGCUUACCAAGGCGACGAUCAGUAGCCGACCUGAGAGGGUGAUCGGCCACAUUGGAACUGAGACACGGUCCAAACUCCUACGGGAGGCAGCAGUGGGGGAUAUUGCACAAUGGGCGAAAGCCUGAUGCAGCAACGCCGCGUGAGCGAUGAAGGCCUUCGGGUCGUAAAGCUCUGUCCUCAAGGAAGAUAAUGACGGUACUUGAGGAGGAAGCCCCGGCUAACUACGUGCCAGCAGCCGCGGUAAUACGUAGGGGGCUAGCGUUAUCCGGAUUUACUGGGCGUAGAGGGUGCGUAGGUGGUCUCUUAAGUCAGGAGUGAAAGGCUACGGCUUAACCGUAGUAAGCUCUUGAAACUGGGAGACUUGAGUGCAGGAGAGGAAAGUGGAAUUCCUAGUGUAGCGGUGAAAUGCGUAGAUAUUAGGAGGAACACCAGUAGCGAAGGCGGCUUUCUGGACUGUAACUGACACUGAGGCACGAAAGCGUGGGGAGCAAACAGGAUUAGAUACCCUGGUAGCCCACGCCGUAAACGAUGAGUACUAGGUGUCGGGGGUUACCCCCCUCGGUGCCGCAGCUAACGCAUUAAGUACUCCGCCUGGGGAGUACGCUCGCAAGAGUGAAACUCAAAGGAAUUGACGG
rnacentral:rRNA from 1 species